UAUUUUUGAUACAUGUUCGAGGAAAAUAUUAAAUAUUUACAGUGAUUCCUCUGGAACUCUGCCUUGAACAAUACCCUUCUGGAAGGAGCCAGGAAGCCACGCGGCUGUGUUCACCUGAGAGGGGAGCACUGUGCGCAUGCUUCAUGUUUGCUCACCACAAUUCUGAAAACUGGGAAGUCCAGCGUCCCCCCUCCUGCAUACAGCCUCCCGUCCCCUUCCUGCGCCCAGACCAUCAAUCACAACCUUCCCCUUGGUCCUGGCAGGGCCCCCAGCACAGGCACGCCCUCGAAGCAGCUUACUGGAUAACCUCCCUGCAGGCCUUCCCUGAGCUGGAAUCACUUGCUCCUUGGACCGAGGGCUCCGGCAGUCCGCACUGACUCCCACAUGCUGACCUCACCCAGCCAAUUGUCCUGAUCACAUGCCCCGUCUCCAUCUCCCCUGGAAACCUAGCUGCAGCACCUGGCGCCCUGCCCAGCACCUGGCAGGCAUUCAGGGACAAGGCCUCCAGCCUUCCCGAGCUAUGGCUUUGGCUUCUUCAGGCUAAUACAGCCAUCCGGUUCUUUGAAAUCUCCCUUCAAUGACCACUCCCUUCCUGCCCCUGCCUGUGCGCAUUCUGCAAACCAGGGGAGCCACAUCUCAGCAGAAGCGAGAGUCCAGGCAUCGGAGGCAGCUUGUCUUGUGUCCCUGGGCUCAACCGUCUGGGUCUUAAGGCGCUGUGCCCUGCGGGCUUCCAGCCGGCCACGGAGACUCAGCUGUACCUGCAGGCAGCGGCCGCAGGGUGAGGGCCGGGCCAGCAACCUCCCCCCACUUGACAGAGGGCACGGACCCUACAGAGGAUUCGCUGGGAGGC